UGGUACUGUCUCCAAUACCAUUAUCAAUGGAGGCACUCGAUCGCGCCGUGGGUAUACAGUUAAUUAUGUAAUGCCUUAGACUUGAAAUGUCAGUGGUGUGGUGUGAGGAUGGGUUAAAUGCCUA
rfam:Jeotgalibacillus soli Cunha et al. 2012 strain P9 contig00009, whole genome shotgun sequence.